GGGCCCGCGCCCGCCACCGUCCAUCAGCGGGGCCGUGCGGCCCCGGUUCCUUCAACCCACCCCGGCCGCGGCUUAGCGGAGUUUCUCCGGUCCCCGGGCCUUCCGCAGGGGGAAAGCUGCGGCCAUGGAGAAGUACCAGGUGCUGGGCCUCGUGGGGGAAGGCAGCUACGGGGUGGUGACCAAGUGCAGAAACAAGGAGACUGGGCAGAUCGUCGCCGUCAAGAAGUUCCUGGAAAGCGAGGACGACGCGGUGGUGAGGAAGAUCGCCGUGAGGGAGAUCAAGCUGCUGAAGCAACUCAGGCAUGAGAAUCUCGUGAACCUGCUGGAAGUGUGUAAAAAGAAGAAACGGUGGUAUCUGGUGUUUGAAUUUGUGGAUCACACGGUGCUUGAUGACCUUGAGGCGUUUCCAAAUGGACUAGACUACAGCAGGGUUCGGAAAUACUUAUUUCAGAUUAUGAGAGGAAUAGCGUUUUGUCACAGUCAUAAUAUAAUACAUCGGGAUAUUAAGCCAGAGAACAUACUAGUUUCCCAGUCGGGAGUUGUAAAACUAUGUGACUUUGGAUUUGCCCGUACCUUAGCAGCUUCAGGGGAAGCUUACACAGACUACGUGGCAACCCGAUGGUACAGAGCUCCAGAGCUGCUGGUGGGAGAUAUCAAAUAUGGCAAGGCUGUGGAUGUGUGGGCUAUUGGCUCUCUGAUAACAGAAAUGCUUACAGGAGAGCCCCUUUUCCCUGGAGAUUCAGACAUUGACCAGCUCUACCAUAUCACCAAGUGCCUGGGUAAUUUAAUUCCAAGACACCAAGAGUUAUUCUAUAAAAAUCCCCUUUUUGCUGGCAUGAGGUUGCCUGAAGUGAAGGAGGUUGAAUCUCUGGACAAACGAUAUCCUAAGCUCUCUGCUGCAGUACUAGAUUUAGCCAAGAAGUGUUUGCAGAUUGAUCCAGACAAAAGACCAUCCUGUGCCGAACUCUUGCAGUGCGAUUUCUUUAACAAGGAUGGAUUUGCUGAAAGAUUUGCUCAGGAGCUUAAAUUGAAGAUUCAGAAAGAUGCCAGAGACCAUCAAUUACAAAAAAAAUCAAAAAUCAGCAAAAGGGACAAAGAUGAUGUUUUAGAAGAAAGAAAAAUUAUUGGUGUCCAGGAUUUCAGCAUUGACCCAAAGAGCAGAGAUGCAAAGCUAUUAAAGGCGAAGCGCUCUAAAGCUGAUGCAGAGAAAGCAGACCGAUCCUCCAACCUGAGCUCCCUCUACGACAGUGCGAUCAACCCAUUUAAAAUAAGCCCUCAAACCAGCCUAAAAGAUUCCAGCAGCAGCUUGGACUAUGCCAAGAAUGCAGGCAUAGUUAUCCCUCCCAUCAACCAGAACUUUUCUCCCACCACGGUUGGGAUGGGUCCUGUGCCUGGGAACCUUAGUUACAGAGUUGAUGAAAAGAGUAAAAAAUACUUGAACCCAUUUCUAAAGCAACGGAAGCAUUCUCCAGCAGGCCAUUACAGUGUAAGCUUGACAUCGGUGACUAAUGAAAAAAACAUCCUUCAGGCAAAUAGGAAAAAAUGGGAAUUCUCCAAGACAGAUGUGCGUUUGCCAGAACUAAAUCAUCUCCCUGAACUGAGAGGAGUGGAAGCGUGGCAUCCCAGAUUUCUGAAAAAGGAAAAUAAAACAGUUUCAGAGUUCCGUGUCCCCUCCCUUGCUGCUAUUGACCUCCAUAACCCAAGUCUAGCCUCACAGCAGCUGUCAGGGACCUUGAUGCCCGAUGCAUCAGAAGCCAGCUUCCCCAGAGUUGAGCAUUAGCCUUAUGGAGAAGAUCACACCUGCCUGUAAAAGAGGGAGCAGCUGCUGACUCUGAAAUCUCUGCACCAAUGCUGGACGUGCUUGUAAUCUAUAUGAGUGUAUUUGUCACUUACAUUCAUGUGAUGCGAUGACUUAAUGCUACUAGGAAGAAAGAAGAAAAACCAUUGGGGUGGGAAGCAACCCUUAUAAUAGAAGUGGGGGAAAAAGAAACCUUACUAAAGUUGUCUCUUCUACGAAGCACAGAUGUGUAAGUGCACAGCUUUAGCAAGGUGGCUGAAACAGUGGGAACAAUCCACCUGAGUUUCCAGGUGCUAAAGCUGCAAGGUCUCUGCAGGAGAGAGGAGGAUCCCUUACUCUCUUGUUAGCCCAGCAGACUGCCAUGGGAAGAGGCUCAGGUCCAGUCCAAGGACAGAGCUCACGCUGCCAUUGCUGCUGGAUUUCUUGCAUGCAAAACAGCUGGUGAAACAUUGACUUUCUGGCCUAGGGCCGGGUCUUAUCUGAGGUUGCUCAGAGAAAAACAGUGGUUAUUGGUGUGUGACAAGGGUAGAAGCUGGUUUGGAGGAUUUUGAAGGAAGCUGGGCUUUCUUUUGUCUAACUGCUGCCCUCUUGAGGGUUUCUCUUUAAAUGAAGAGAGUAGAUAUCUGCUGAAUUUGCCAUGUUUUGGUGGGCUACCUGAUCUGUAUUGGAAAGCACCUUUGCCUUGACAAAAAUGUCAGUGAAGAAAAUGUUUGUGCAAGAAAUACGAUGUUUAAAUGUGUAAAUGUUCCCAACUGUUCCUUUGAAACCCUUGCUAAGGCUCAGCAGCAUGUGUGAUCUUGUGUUAGGUUCCUUUUCCCUCCAUGCUUUCAUCCCCCAGUCUUUGGGUGGUUGUUUUUCAGGUGUUUAACUCGGCCUGUUGUCUGGCCAUGCUGGGUGAACGUCUGGCUACUGUUAACGGUGAAGGAAGAAUAACAGUGUAAAAUACUGAGCUGUGUAGCAAGUGGCAUGUGAAAUGGUUUCUGUGAACGCUCAGUAACUCCCUUAAGUCAUCAGUCCUUUAGGUUCCUUGGGGGUUGGGACAUGCAAGUGUAAAACUUGACAGUGGCUUGUGGAGAAAGAUGGCAUCGCUGUUAUCUUGGGUCUGUUAUGAGACCAUUUUUGCUUAUCUGCCUCCAAGCUGGCUGUGGUCAGUUCUGUGCUGUCCCUGUGUUGCUCACAACUCAGUUUUCCAGCAGCUCGAGGCUGCUGUCACAGCUCACACCCCUGUACGGUGUAGUUAAUUUUGGAACUUGUCUUUGGAACACAAAAUAUGGCCUUUACCAUCGAUGUACUGUGGCAGAAUACAGUA